rnacentral:rRNA from 1 species
UGGGGAAUUUUGCGCAAUGGGGGAAACCCUGACGCAGCAACGCCGCGUGAGUGAUGAAGGCCUUCGGGUCGUAAAGCUCUGUCAGAGGGGAAGAAAUGCAGGGGUGCUAAUAUCAUCUUUGCUUGACGGUACCCUCAAAGGAAGCACCGGCUAACUCCGUGCCAGCAGCCGCGGUAAUACGUAGGGUGCGAGCGUUGUUCGGAAUUAUUGGGGGUAAAGCGCGUGUAGGCGGUUUGGUAAGUCUGAUGUGAAAGCCCCGGGCUCAACCUGGGAAGUGCAUUGGAAACUGUCAGACUUGAAUACGGGAGAGGGUAGUGGAAUUCAUAGUGUAGGAGUGAAAUCCGUAGAUAUUAGGAGGAACACCGGUGGCGAAGGCGGCUACCUGGACCGAUAUUGACGCUGAGACGCGAAAGCGUGGGGAG